AGAGUUUGAUCAUGGCUCAGGACGAACGCUGGCGGCGUGCUUAACACAUGCAAGUCGAGCGGAAAGGCCCUUCGGGGUACUCGAGCGGCGAACGGGUGAGUAACACGUGAGUAAUCUGCCCCUAGCUCUGGGAUAGCUCCGGGAAACCGGGAUUAAUACCGGAUAUGACUCCUUCAGACAUCUUGAGGAGUGGAAAGAUUUAUCGGCUAGGGAUGAGCUCGCGGCCUAUCAGCUUGUUGGUGAGGUAACGGCUCACCAAGGCGACGACGGGUAGCCGGCCUGAGAGGGCGACCGGCCACACUGGGACUGAGACACGGCCCAGACUCCUACGGGAGGCAGCAGUGGGGAAUAUUGCGCAAUGGGCGAAAGCCUGACGCAGCGACGCCGCGUGGGGGAUGAAGGCCUUCGGGUUGUAAACCCCUUUCAGCAGGGACGAAGCGAAAGUGACGGUACCUGCAGAAGAAGCGCCGGCUAACUACGUGCCAGCAGCCGCGGUAAUACGUAGGGUGCAAGCGUUGUCCGGAAUUAUUGGGCGUAAAGAGCGUGUAGGCGGCCCGAUUAGUCCGCUGUGAAAGUCCAGGGCUCAACCCCGAGCCUGCAGUGGAUACGGGCAGACUAGAGGUAGGUAGGGGAGAAUGGAAUUCCCCGGUGUAGCGGUGAAAUGCGCAGAUAUCGGGAGGAACACCGGUGGCGAAGGCGGUUCUCUGGGCCUUACCUGACGCUGAGGAGCGAAAGCGUGGGGAGCGAACAGGAUUAGAUACCCUGGUAGUCCACGCCGUAAACGUUGGGCGCUAGGUGUGGGAUCCUUCCACGGAUUCCGUGC
rnacentral:rRNA from 1 species